GACGAACGCUGGCGGCGUGCCUAAUACAUGCAAGUAGAACGCUGAAGGAGGAGCUUGCUUCUCUGGAUGAGUUGCGAACGGGUGAGUAACGCGUAGGUAACCUGCCUGGUAGCGGGGGAUAACUAUUGGAAACGAUAGCUAAUACCGCAUAAUAGUAGAUGUUGCAUGACAUUUGCUUAAAAGGUGCAAUUGCAUCACUACCAGAUGGACCUGCGUUGUAUUAGCUAGUUGGUGGGGUAACGGCUCACCAAGGCGACGAUACAUAGCCGACCUGAGAGGGUGAUCGGCCACACUGGGACUGAGACACGGCCCAGACGCCUACGGGAGGCAGCAGUAGGGAAUCUUCGGCAAUGGACGGAAGUCUGACCGAGCAACGCCGCGUGAGUGAAGAAGGUUUUCGGAUCGUAAAGCUCGGUUGUAAGAGAAGAACGAGUGUGAGAGUGGAAAGUUCACACUGUGACGGUAUCUUACCAGAAAGGGACGGCUAACUACGUG
rnacentral:rRNA from 1 species